UGAAAAGCCAGAAUAGCUUGUGCAAUAAGUAGCUGACAGAUAAAGAAAAAUGGCAACUUUAUGCUUUAAUGGCAAUGUAAACUAUCUAGAAGGAACAUUUAUCAGUUCAACAAGAAUUGAUUUUCUUCACUCUCAACUCCUAUGAACAAGUCUUCACUUUCUAAAAGAGAAAAAUGUAUUCAAACAAAAAUUCCUGAAGUUCUUCACUGCAGGGAGCAUCCUACUGAGCUGUCGAACAAAAACCUCCUAUCCAAGGGAGCACAGGUCAAUAGAAGGCAUCACCUUAAAUGACAAGAGGAGGAGGAAGAGGAGGAGGAGAAGGAAAAGGAGAAAAAAAAGAAGAUGGAGAAGAGAAGUAGGAAGAAGAGGAAAGAAAGAAAAAGAAAUAAGAGAAGGACAAGGAGAAGAAGGAGGAAGAGAGAAAGAAGAAGGAGAAGAGGAAGAGAAAAAAGGGAAGAGGAGGAGGUGGUGAAAAGAAAUAGGAAGAAGAAACAAAAAUAAGAUCACAAUAA
rnacentral:lncRNA from 1 species